rnacentral:rRNA from 1 species
UUGGAUGAUUCGGUGAGGUCUUCGGACCGAUGCUUCGUGUUGAUCCGUUGCGGAUUGGCUGUUGCGUUGGGAAGUUGCCCGAACCCCACCCAUCUAGAGGAAGUAAAAGUCGUAACAAGGUUUCCGUAGGUGAACCUGCGGAAGGAUCAUUA